CUUACCAUGCAGACUGAAUCUCACACACACACACACACACACACACACACACACACACACACACACCCUCUCAUAGAGCCCCUUACCAUGCAGACUGAAUCUCACACACACACACACACACACACACACACACACACACCCUCUCAUAGAGCCCCUUACCAUGCAGACUGAAUCUCACACACACACACACACACACACACACACACACACACACACACCCUCUCAUAGAGCCCCUUACCAUGCAGACUGAAUCUCACACACACACACACACACACACACACACACACACACACACCCACACACACACACACACACCCUCUCAUAGAGCCCCUUACCAUGCAGACUGAAUCUCACACACACACACACACACACACACACACACACACACACACACCCACACACACACACACACACCCUCUCAUAGAGCCCCUUACCAUGCAGACUGAAACCCAGGGUCAGUCCCUCUCAUAUAGCACCUUG